rnacentral:rRNA from 1 species
GACGAACGCUGGCGGCGUGCUUAACACAUGCAAGUCGAACGGUGAACCUCUUCGGAGGGGAUCAGUGGCGAACGGGUGAGUAACACGUGGGCAACCUGCCCCCGGCUCUGGGAUAACUCCAAGAAAUUGGGGCUAAUACCGGAUGUUCACCGCUUCCCGCAUGGGUGGUGGUGGAAAGGGUUUCCGGCUGGGGAUGGGCCCGCGGCCUAUCAGCUUGUUGGUGGGGUAGUGGCCUACCAAGGCGACGACGGGUAGCCGGCCUGAGAGGGUGACCGGCCACACUGGGACUGAGACACGGCCCAGACUCCUACGGGAGGCAGCAGUGGGGAAUAUUGCGCAAUGGGCGGAAGCCUGACGCAGCGGCGCCGCGUGGGGGAUGACGGCCUUCGGGUUGUAAACCUCUUUCAGCAGGGACGAAGCGCAAGUGACGGUACCUGCAGAAGAAGCACCGGCCAACUACGUG